rnacentral:rRNA from 1 species
UGAGCAAUCUGCCCUUCUCAUCGGAAUAGGCGUUGGAAACGACGUCUAAUGCCGAAUACGACCUCCUUUCACAUGAUCGGAGGUGGAAAGCUCCGGCGGAGAAGGAUGAGCUCGCGGCCUAUCAGCUAGUUGGUGUGGUAAUGGCCCACCAAGGCGACGACGGGUAGCCGGCCUGAGAGGGUGACCGGCCACACGUGGGACUGAGACACGGCCCAGACCUCCGUACGGGAGCAG